rnacentral:rRNA from 1 species
AUGCACUACAGGUGGCACGUUAUAAAGAGGGCUGAGGAGACGCUAGGACCGUUCUUUGCUGACCGUCCAGAGCUGCACAAGGCAUUCGAGCUGUGCGUGGACCACAGCUUGACAGUGGAGGAGUUUGAAAGGAGCUGGAUGGCCAUGAUUGAAACAUAUCAAGUCCAAGACAACGAGACGCUUGCUAACCUAUGGGAGAAGCAAAUGUACUGGGUGCCGGCCUAGUUCAUGCAGUGCUUCUUCCCGUUUCUGCAGACUACGCAGCGCAGCGAGGGGUUCAAUGCUAUUUUGAAGUGGUACGUGAGCCCUAGCAACUCAUUGCUACAGUUUGCCAAGCAAUACACAUCUUUGCAACAAAAAAUACUAGGAUCUGAGCUACAGCAAGAAGUGAACACCGCGCUAAAGCAGCCAAAAUUGCUAACGUAUUUACCGAUGGAGAGGCAGAUGAGCAAGAUAUACACCAACAAGAUCUUUAACAAGUAA